CAUUAUAUCGAGCACCUGGCAGACCAGAAUUGGCAGUGGGUUUUAGCAGUCUUCAAUCUUUGUGUAGCGAUGGUGUAGACAGGCAUAGAUGAGACCCAGAUAAGUUCAUAGGAUGUGGUAGUUGGAGCGAACAGGAAUGGAAGUCACCAGAAGACUUUGCACUUCAUCAUCUCCGACGACAUGUACAUUACAAAAACGAAAAAAAUUGUGCCUAACAACGAAAAACAGGAAUGCGAGGACAUGUCUAUUGUUGUUUACCUGAAGUCGCAAAUUUGCAUAACUGUAGAAGAAGCGCACAGGUAAUGUUUGGGCACAAUUUCAACUUUUUACACCCUGUAUGAAACAAAUAUUAGUCAAUUUCAUAUAACCAAUUAUCUAGGGUUUAU
rnacentral:lncRNA from 1 species